AGGAUGAACGCUGGCGGCAUGCCUAAUACAUGCAAGUCGAACGAAGUUUUUAGGAAAGCUUGCUUUCCAAAAAGACUUAGUGGCGAACGGGUGAGUAACACGUAGAUAACCUGCCCAUGUGCCCGGGAUAACUGCUGGAAACGGUAGCUAAAACCGGAUAGGUGGCUUCGAGGCAUCUCGGAGACAUUAAAAUGGCUAAGGCCAUGAACAUGGAUGGAUCUGCGGCGCAUUAGCUAGUUGGUGAGGUAACGGCCCACCAAGGCGACGAUGCGUAGCCGACCUGAGAGGGUGAACGGCCACAUUGGGACUGAGACACGGCCCAAACUCCUACGGGAGGCAGCAGUAGGGAAUUUUCGUCAAUGGGGGGAACCCUGAACGAGCAAUGCCGCGUGAGUGAAGAAGGUCUUCGGAUCGUAAAGCUCUGUUGUAAGAGAAAAACGGAUCAUGUAGGGAAUGACAUGAUAGUGAUGGUAUCUUACCAGAAAGCCACGGCUAACUACGUGCCAGCAGCCGCGGUAAUACGUAGGUGGCAAGCGUUAUCCG
rnacentral:rRNA from 2 species